AUGGCAGAGAGGUUCCCUCUCCAGGUGACAGUGGUGAAGGUGCCUGGCGUGAGCUUCUCUGCCCUGGGAGCUGCCUGGGAGCUGCCUUCUGUCCCCAGGCUGCCACUGUCCUCUGGGCCUGUCCAGCUCCACACCGCCUCCCACCAGCUGGCCCCAGUCACCACCAGGCAGGGCGUCCCAGGGACCCUGGGGCAGGUGGUGCAUCUUCCCUCUGUGGUGCAUCUUCCCCAGCUGGUGCAGCUGCCCCUCGGGGCUGCUCUCUGUCCCACUGCCUAUGGCUGGGUACAGCAGGUGGUGAUGGGGACACUGCUGCCCUACCAGCCAAGAGCUGUGGUCCAGGAAGAGGCCCUUUACCCCAUAGGCUCUAAUGUGUUCCACAUCCACAAUCAACCUGCCCUGGCUCUACCAGCUGGCACAACUACGAUGGAGCCCGAAGAAGUGAUGACCACGGAUCUCCCUGGAGACGGAUCAGCUGCCACCACAGAGGCCAUUCCUGAGCAGGCAGGGGACAGCACAGACACACAUCUAUUUGCCUGGCCUGACACUGCAGAGAGUGAGGACACCGCCCUUGACAGCCCCAGCAGCUCCACCUUGGAUGCUCUCCUGGAAGAACUCUCUGAGUACCUGGAGGACAGUGGCUGCCUUGACAAUCAAGUGGAGUUGGCACAGCAAGGGGACAAUGAGGACACCGUCUUGGCCGCCAAUGUCCCCAGCCUGACAGCUGAGGACUUCGAUGAGUUCAUUGAAUUCUGUGAAUUCCUGCUGGAAGACGACCAUCCCAAGAAGCCGGUGGUGGAGGACAGCUGGCAGCAGCCAGGCCAAGAGCUGUGCGCCAGCCAGCACCCCCACGAGCUAAGAGACCUUCCCGCAGGACCAUGGCCCAGCCGGCAAGAAAAAGACGACGGCAGUGAUGCAGCACCAAGGCCAGAAGACAAUCUGAGCCAGUGACCUACAUCCAGAGCCCCAGCCCUCUCCUACACUCCUCAUUCCCAUUUAGUCAUUAAAGGCUUGUUUUUCAUCUCCUCUCUCUGCUAGGGUUCAUAUUCACAGUGGGAGGGGGCCCCAUGUGGGUCCCACUGGGCUGGCGUAGGUGACAAAGAGGAUGGGGACAUUGUUCUGGGUGCUGGGCAUCUCUGGGGGAAACAAUACUGGUGAGAGUCCUCAGAGCAUCAAGCAGCAGGACAGGCACCACGGAGUCACCAGGAGCAGGGAGCACGGCGCUGGGCACGUGCUAAGCUUCCCACUUGGUUUGGCUGCCAGAGGCCAAGGAAAGAAGGAGCUGCCCCAAGCAGGGGAACCUUUCCUUGGCAGGGAGUGGAUGAGAUGGAACGUUGUGGGAUGGUUCUGUUGGGGAUUUGAAAUGUCCUGAGUGCUGCCAUAGGGAUUUCUCAUUUGCCACAGGGCAAUUUCUCAUCUCUAAAAGGACCAACUCUCUCUGCAGAGCAUCCUGGCUGGUUCUCUCACCCUGUCACUUGUCCCCCUCGGCCUGCUCCCCACAUUUUCUAUAUUGAGAAGGAUUUUCUGUGGUACGGAAUGUCCCUCCAACCAGUUCAGGUCAGCUGUCCUAGCCAUGCCCCCUCUCCCAGCCCCUUUAGGACAUAUCUCCCUUUGACGGGGUCUCUGUAAGGAGUAUUCAAGGCAGGUUGGAUGGGGCUUGGAGCAGCCUGGUCUGGUUGAAGGUGUCUCUGCCAUGGCACAAGGGUUGGAAUUGAAAUGACCUUUAAGGUCCCUUCCAUCCCAUACUGGUCUGGGUUCUUUGGCAGACACAGUGAGAGAGGGAACAGCUUGAAACAGUUUCAAAAACUAAAUUUUCCACUGGCCUAUAUUCUGUCAUCCCAUUUUACGAAAAAAACAAGAAAUCUAAAUUAAAAGGAGAUAUCAAGCAGGCAAGAAUCAUCUGCUGUAGCCAAAGGAAACUGAAUCUAACAUUUAACCCAUCUGGCUUAAA
ensembl:lncRNA